AUAUCAAAAUUCAACUUUCAACGUCAUUUCUUUCAUAUUUAUAAUUAAUUAUAAUUAAUUUUACAUUUCAUGUCCGUCGUAUGUAAUAAAGACUAAACCAAUUGUAAUUACUUACAACAGCGAUUAAGACAACCUAUCCAUAAGAAGAAAAGACGUUCGUUAAUUUCUCUCCUAGCUGAUAUUCCGUAUGUUCUCGAAAUAAAUAAAUUAUCGCGAUAUUUUUCCUCCGAUUAACAUAAUUCUUUUUUAUUUUUAGGCCGUUACCACGCGAUCCUUUUGUACAAAUUUUUGUGGUGCAAAAGGUCGAUAAAUAUUUUCUCCUGCCUGUCGAGGAAUCAGUACAAAAGCAACCGGAAGAGGAUUCUAUCGCGACAAACAUUUGCAUCAAGACUGAAGUACAUGAAGAAACAUCUGAACAACAACUUGUCGAAUCUCAAUUACAAGAAACAGAUA
rnacentral:misc_RNA from 1 species